rnacentral:rRNA from 1 species
GAUGAACGCUGGCGGCGUGCCUAAUACAUGCAAGUCGAGCGAACAGACGAGGAGCUUGCUCCUCUGACGUUAGCGGCGGGCGGAUGAGUAACACGUGGAUAACCUACCUAUAAGACUGGGAUAACUUCGGGAAACCGGAGCUAAUACCGGAUAAUAUAUUGAACCGCAUGGUUCAAUAGUGAAAGACGGUUUUGCUGUCACUUAUAGAUGGAUCCGCGCCGCAUUAGCUAGUUGGUAAGGUAACGGCUUACCAAGGCAACGAUGCGUAGCCGACCUGAGAGGGUGAUCGGCCACACUGGAACUGAGACACGGUCCAGACUCCUACGGGAGGCAGCAGUAGGGAAUCUUCCGCAAUGGGCGAAAGCCUGACGGAGCAACGCCGCGUGAGUGAUGAAGGUCUUCGGAUCGUAAAACUCUGUUAUUAGGGAAGAACAAAUGUGUAAGUAACUAUGCACGUCUUGACGGUACCUAAUCAGAAAGCCACGGCUAACUACGUG